rnacentral:rRNA from 1 species
GGGUCAGUAGGUUGGUCGUGCCACCGGUACGUACUGGUCUCGCUGAUUCCUCCUUCCUGAAGAACCGUAAUGCCAUCAAUUUGGUGUUGCGGGGAAACAGGACUGUUACUUUGAAAAAAUUAGAGUGUUUAAAGCAAGCUAACGCUUGAAUACAUUAGCAUGGAAUAAUGAAAUAGGACGAUCGAUCCUAUUUUGUUGGUUUCUAGGAUUGACGUA